rnacentral:rRNA from 1 species
GACGGGGGGUCCAAGCGUUGCUCGGAAUCAUUGGGCGUAAAGAGGGCGUAGGCGGCCUUGUAAGUCAGAAGUGAAAGCCCUGGGCUCAACCCAGGAAGUGCUUUUGAUACUGCUUGGCUUGAGUGUGGGAGAGGAUAGUGGAAUUCCUGGUGUAGUGGUGAAAUACGUAGAUAUCAGGAGGAACACCGGUGGCGAAGGCGGCUAUCUGGCCCAACACUGACGCUGAGGCCCGAAAGCGUGGGGAGCAAACAGG